GCAAUCAGUGUCACGUUGAAACAGCGGUUCUCGUCCGAUCACCGAAGUCAGGCAACGUUGGGCUUGGUCAGUAUCUAGAUGACUGACCGCCUCGAAGUACCUGGUGCUGUAAG